GAUGUGGUUGCUCUUCAUCUUUUAAAAAAAAAAAUCUACAAGAAACUGUUUAUCCUCCGUCAGUUCAGCCUUUGAAUAUGAUGGCGAGGCUUCUCCGAAAUGCUUCUUCUCUCGGAUGCCUCUGUUUUUGCAACCUCUCUCUCCGACUUUAUAGGAAAGUCUUGUUAGGGGCAUACACUCAACUCUCCUACUUUUCCUCCAAAAGGUACCCGAAG